UGCUUGGCAAGGGUGUUCUGGCCAUGUGUCCUCUUGGCAUUUUCCCCCUCCUGGGAACACCUGGGUGAUGCCUGUGCCUUCCCAUCAGCAUGGGGAGAGGCUGGUGGGACAUGCAGCUGCCCUGAAUUAGGCAGUAGCAGCUGGAGACAGUGCCUAAGGCUUGCACCAGCAUCAUCCAUGGUGAGAGCUAUCACCUGUGUGAGUUCUCCCACCACGGGGAGUAAAGGCAGAGGUUUGGUAACCACAGCUCUUGGUGGUGGUGUGAGCUCAGAAGAGAGCUUGGCUGCUCAUGUCAGCACUGUGCUGGAGCACAUUUUAAGCCUAAGUCAUGGCAGGGGCUAUGCAUUCUGCACAGGGGGAUGAUACCAUGACUGGAAAAGACAUCGGCCACUUCAAAUCCAUCAGUAAAGACUUCCUCCCAUCCGGCCCUGAAAAGGGAGAACCGAGCAGUGUUUUUGUGUGUGGAAAGGGUGGCUCGUUACACAGGAGGAAUCACGUCCUGGCUGCCUGGGGAGGCAGGAUGUCAGGCUUGGAAGACCAAGCAUUUAUUUUGGAAAAGCAAGCUCCAACUUUCUCAUCCACGCAUGGAUGCGCUUCACUUCCCUUGCCUUCCCCAGUCCCUCUUCUUUCAUGCCUUUCCAGGCAGCAUUCCUGGAGGAAAUGGAGCUGUGCACCCAGCAGUCCUGCCCCUCUACCCCUGGGCAAUGCUGUCACUGCCACUGACUGGCAAGAAGGUGCCUGGCAGAGGAUGGUGAAACUAAUCUCAGGACUCUUCUUUCCAACCUCCUUGCGGUGCUGCCCUGCUGGGAUGCCUUGGCUCCUUCUGUUUCCCACACUUUGGGUCGCUUGGUCCUUCCAUGAGUUUCCAAAGAGCUUUGCAAGAAGCCAAAGCACCUGCUCAGUGAACUCAGAUCAUUCAGGAAGCUGGCAGAAAUGUUCUUCCUGGACCGGUGUCUUUGUUUUAUUUUUUUUAAUUGCAGGUAAAUAUGAUACUUUCCCUCCUGAAGCACCUGGUGUGAUGCCUUAUUGGUUAUCUCUUCAUCCCCUCUUGCCAACAGCAUCUCUCCCCUUACCAUAUUUUAAUUGCUGAAGUUUACUUGUGUUGGAUGAGUCAACUUCAGCCCUCUGUCCUCACUCCAUGAACCUUCUCCCAGUCAGCAGUCACAUCUUGCCUGCCGGAGGUGCUUGCUCUGCACCAGCCAGUGUCACUUCCAGAGCCCUGCUAUUCCUGCUGGAUGGAUAACAGCAUCACUUGGCCAUGCCAGCUCUUAUUUCUGCCUAAUGCAGUCGUCUGAAGUCAGUCCAGGAGUCUGAUUCUGAAUUAGAGAAUGACAGUGAGGACUUAAUCUCAUGUUCAAUUAGUGGUCAAGACUCAGCUCUAGAGAUGCAAGUGAAGAGGCUUCUGCUAUUCACUUUUUUUUUUCAGCAACAGUCUGAUUAUCCUCUAAAUCCAAACUUUGGAUCGCUGCAUUAUUAUUUUGGAAGGGGGAGCAAAAAUAACAAAACUAAGCCCACUGCAGCCCCUUGAAGUGGACUCAAAUGGAAAUAAAACUCCUUUACAGAGUGAGCUUUGGACUGAUUUUUCAUUCCAUGUCCAAAAAUUACUUGGAAAGAUCAUGUCGGCCAAAGGCCAGGGUCUAGUCUGUGUACCUGUGCUGCUGUCCAGAUGGAGGAGAAAAAGAACAGAUGCAUUGAGAUGAAGAGAAAGAUUUCAGAGCAUGUUUUCAAAGCCUCCUGUUCGUUGAAAGGGCUGGAAAGCAAAUUAGAAAACAUAUCUAGGGUUUCCUUUGAACAUAAGGAAAAAAUUGACUUGGAUGCUGCUAACGUAGUGCCUUUCCAGGCUUACCACGAUGGGGAAAUGUCAUUUGCUUUCUGGGGACUCGACCUAAAAUCUCCCUUUGGUCAACUGCCUCUCUGCAUUGGGCAGGCUGGUGUGGGAGGAGACAAGCGCAUGGGAAGCUGAAUGAGACUUUUAAAACACUUGGCCUUCCCAUAAUGGAGGCUAAGAGUUGGCAAAUGGUUUUGUAUUUUGUUUCCUAUGACUUUGCCUGAGUGUCCAACAUGGUCCAUGAUUGCAGUGCUCUCACGGAUUCCUUAGUUAUAAGCAAAAAGAAGGAAAGAUCCUUUUGGCUAGCGCAGAUUUGGCUAUUUAUAGGCAGUCUUUCCUGCAGCUCUGAUCCAAAGGGGGAAGCUGUGCAGUUGCAUCUGCCACAGGUUGUGCAUGUGCUUCAAAGGCUGGCACAAGUGGGCUCCUGCUUUCUAGUCCUUCAAUGAGUUUGACCAACUCUACCCAACCUGUCUUCUGCCAGCAACCUCAGUGACUCUCUCUGGACAUGAGCAGAUCUUCCACAUCCUAUGGAGGUCGUGGUAUUGCCCACCUCCCCGGUCUCUGGAUCCAAGCAAAUGUGGGUGGACAAAUGGAUGGUGUGCGUCUGUCCCAUCUAGCAUGAGGCAGCAGGAUGCAUAGGGAAGCCAAAACCUUCCUGCCCCUGUUGCAGCCUUAUUGGGGCUUCAGAUACUGGCAACUUUGGAUCCUGGAUGUGGGUAUCAGACUCCCUCCCCCUUCUCAAUCUUUUAGGCAUUUUGUUUUUCAACUACAGUAGGAUUUUGAAAAACAAGGAUUGAUUCUUUUCCUGCUAUGUGGCACAGAAAAGAAAAAGACACCUAGACUAGUAUCAGCAAUUAUUUCCAUGGAAACCUUUAUUUUAAGCAACUUUGGGGACUGGUGAUGAUGUACAUUCAGUAAAGGUGAAGCUCUGGCAGUUGAAGCUCAUGUUGGAAUUUGUGGUGCUAAAGCUGGAACCAGAGGAUCUAACAUGGAAAUCAGCAUGGAGCCAAUGUCGAACUUGAUGGAAAAACACGGUGCUCGUAUUGAAAUGCUCUAAGGCCAUCCAUACGAGCAGGUAAAGCCAGGAUGGAAGAAAAUAUUGAACUUGACCAAGAAUAACCAAAUGGAGGGCUAAUAUCCAAUCUCAGAUGUAUGGACAGCAGAUCCUGCUUUCCAUUUAUAAUAUUGCUUUACAACCUUCUGGCAGCCUUCCUUAACCUUAAAGUCAUAUUCAAUUCCCUUCCCACUGAAGGCCUAUGUAUUCCACCACUGUGGACUGAGUUUUGGGAUAAUAAUGAGCUAGUCUUUACACGUCCAGAAAUCGCAAUGAGAAAAGCAGAAUUGACAAGUGUGAAAAGUCCGUUCUUGCAGAACCCAGUGCUGUAUUUGAGCUGCAGCAAGCUGUCAAACGCAAUGCAGGCUGAAUGGAUCCAGACUCCAGCCUUUGUUGUGGGAAAUUGUGGAAGUUCUUUACCUCCUUGACAGAGAUGCUGAAAAAGAGGCACUGGAGUUUGCACCCAGCAAAAAAUAGACCUUGCGGCAUAUUUAGGCUCUAAAUUUUGCUGCAGCUCUUCUCUGAAAGUGGAUUUAUGACUUCAUCCUUCCUUCUCAGCCUACCCAAGAUGUGUAACUCAGCACAUGCCAAGAGCUUCUAGGCUUGAAUAUCUAAUGAGGAAAGACUUUGGAAGUGAUGUUAAAACAGAAAAUGGGGCUGCGCCUGCUGAGAGAGCACAAGGAGAGAUCUUACCCACCUUGUUUCCUCUCACCUGUGCUGGGCCAGCCACAUAUUUACACCUUCUGAGCCUUGAUCCUGACUUUGAUAGGCUCACACUCCACUUACUGUGCCAACUGGUAGCCCGUGCUGGAAGAAACCCUGAGUAUGAGGCAUGGUAUUGCAUGGGAGAGGAAAAAAAAAUCCCUCAGCUAGAUGCAUAGCAGUGGAAGAUUCGUGCAUGGAAGAUCUGUGAUUGAAAAAUUGUCUGUCUUCAGCUGUCAUCUAGCUUAAUAAAGGCAGGAUGGAGAGGGAAUGACUUUUCUUACCUCCUUAGACUAUCGCAGCUACAGCAGCCCUACAGCAAAACUGGAUCAGUAUGCAGAGACGGAGACAAAGUUGUCUCUUUAGAGAGACAAGCAGACAGACAAAUAGACAGCUAGCCAGAUUCUUCUCUGUUAUAUGCAUGUAACUCCAAAACUAUUAAAGGAACUAUUUGUAACCAGGAACAGAAUCAAACUGCUGGCGUAGUUCACUGUAAAAGAUUUUCAGUUCAAUCUCUGAUGGCAUUUUAAUAGGAACAGCUACUCAUCAGCAAUGUCAGGGUUAAAUGCUCCCAGCAUGUGUGCAAUUGCAGAAAUACCCCGAGAAGAAUCAAGGAAAUAUUUCCAUCUUAAACUGCGAUAAGGAGUGAAAACGUGCAACUCGUUCCAUAUGGUGGCUGGGAGCCCUGAGCCAAGCGGAAAGCCGCGGAGUCUGCCAAUGCGUAAGAACUCGCAAGCCUGAUAAAUGAGUGCCUUGCUUCGGGAAAACCAGAGACAAAGUCGCACUGGAAAGAAGAAAACUGAAGAAAAGUGAGGAGUUGUUUUUUUUUUUUUCUUUUCUUUUCUUUCCUUUUUCUUUUUUUUCUUUUAAGAGGGAGAGAGAAGGGAGAAAAAAGCCAAGUCCUACCCAUUUUUCUUGCUGGAUGGCAGCAAGAAUUUCUGGAAAUGUUUUACAUGUCAAAGAUUUAACCAAGCUGGGAUGUUUGUGGACAAGCCAUUAUGCAACGAAUAAAUAAAUCAGGAAAAGCAAGGGGAAGUCUAUCUUCUCUCCUGUUUUACAAAAAUGAUCCUGGGCUGAGACAGCUGCAUUCUUCUGGGAUACCCUGUGCAAGCCAGGAUGCAAGUGCCCAUGAAGUGGAGGAGCAAUCUCAGGUUUCUCCAGCAUUGGGGCCACAUUGCAUUCAGUUAUACAGCAAGGAGAGAUUCUUGCGGGACAUGCCAGGAGGGAAAGGAUACCAGGGAGAGCUAUGGCCAUAAAGGAUCUGAGCACUGAGCAUCCUCUGGCAGCAGGGAGCGGGCCCCCAGCAGCUCUCCAGCCACCCCCAGCACCAGGCAUGGGUUCUUGGCCAAAGAGAAAUGGGGCCGUGUCUGGCACCCGGGGUCAUGGAGCAGGGGUGAAGGCAAGAGACAGGGGCCGUGCUGGAAGGGAGCAGAGGGUCAGAGCAGAUUGCGCGUCUCCUGCUCGGUGCCUGAGAUUUGACAGGUCCGCAUUCUUGGUUGAAGGGAUCUGGCUGUACAAUCGAUUUCAGGAGAGGAGUGGGUAAAAUCAUAGCUUGGCUGCCUGGGGGAAAGGCUGCUCCUUUGAAAAAGUCUUCCUAUGGGGAAGCAAGUCACCUCCGACAACCUGAGCACGCUCCCAUGUUGAAUAAAAUCAGAAAUGGGAGAGGAAAUCAACCACGCAAAAAAAAAAAAUAAAAAAAAAAAUCAUAAAAUAAUCUCUCCUGUUCCUUCUCCAAACAGGGAUAUUUCAUCCAGAUGAUGUUUUGAAGCUAUGAAUAUAGAAAAUAUAGAAGCAGUUAGAUUCCCUGCAAUGAACAGCAAUAGGAAAUCUUAGCUAAGCAAAUUUGUUGUGAUGAAAUUGGGGCUGCUGCUCAGACAUAGGCACUGCUGUGUGGGCAGAGAGCAGUCUGACCUGUGCUCAGUGACUUCACCCAAACAAGGCACACAAAGCCAAGAGCGUUUUGUUGGGCUAAAAAGAGCAACAAAGGGAGCAAAUCCUGCAGGUUGUAAAUUGCUAGGCAAGGUGAUAAAUGGUAUGUGAACUGGCCAAUAUUCUCUGUCUGGAAAGUUGAAAAGAAGCCCGCCUUCUCGUGAGCCUAAAAUAUUUCUCUUUCUGGAGUACCUUAGUUUCCAGCUACGUGCCACAGUUGUUCACUUGCCAAAACAUUUGUUCUCUAGCCUGACCUUCUGUCUUGUAGCAGCCUCUCCAAACCUCCCUGGUAAAAGGGAAAUAAAAGCUUCCCACCUUGGUGUGCUUGUUACAGCGGCUGCCUCCUUACAGUAGUGCCUGGCUGUCCCGAUGAUGCCCCUCAUAAGUGCAGGUGGGCAACUUGCCCAGGUUUGCUGGAGCAGGUUUGUGUAGAAGGAGGCUGGUUUGCUGGCUGCAGGGACCAGCCUGGGAGAGCUUUGUGGUGCAGGUGCUGGGAUGGAGGCAGAGAAAAGAUGUCCCAAUCUCACCUGGAAGAUGCAAUAGAGCUAAUAUGGUGGAGCACACAGAUGCAGGGAUUUAGGAUGAUGUCCUGGAUGAUGCAGGUGCUUCUCAGGUCUGCCUGCUGGUGUACCAGCUGGUGUCCUCAUUGCCCUCCCGAGGGUCUCUUCGGGGCUUGGUGGGAGCACUGAGACAGCUCUGGUUGCUCCUAAACCAGAGUGUGACUUUUACCUCCCUGGCAUGAUCCUGAAUGUGUCCCGUCCUCUUUGCUAUCCCUUAUCCCCUCCUGCACAACUUGUGUUAUUGCUUUCUGCCCAGGCUCUGGCCGGAUGCUUCUCUUCAGCUGUGACCUGAGUUUGCUGUUAUCUCUGCUCCGAUCCUGCCAGCUUCCCCUGCCACCCUGUGCCGUGGCCUCUCCAGCGCUGUCAGCUCCCCUUUGGUGUUGCCUAAUGUGAUGUGCAUGCUCCCAGGCUCAUGGCAGGGAGGUACUGUGAAAUCCCACCCCUCCGUGCCCACAAGCCUGACAUUCAUUAUUUGUUAAGGCUUUCUUUAGCCAGCCCAAGACACUGCAGGGAAGUCCUCUCCAGGCCUGAGCUGGCCAAAAAAUCAGUGGGUGGGUGGAAAAUCUUCAGAGACUGACUGUUGAGACUUCUCAGAUGAUGGUCCUUUUGAUUUCCAUUUAAGAACAAGCUGAAGAGCUAAUUUUUAUUAUGACAUCUCUCUGUCCUUGCAAAAUGCCCCACCGCUAAAAGGCAUAGGCCUGAAUCCUAGGGACAGAUUUUCCUUUGUUUUAUUUUGUGCCGUCAUUUACAGCUCUGAAAAAUGUCUGUAAAUAUGCUCGGUUUCACACUCCGUUCUCCUACGCAAUGCCUACAUGGCUGAACAGAUCCCGUCAAAGAUCUUGAAGGCUUUUAGGCACCUAAUUUUCACCAGCAGGGGUUAGAUGCCCGUGCAGCACCAGAUUUGGGUCCGACUUGAUUUGCUUCAUCCUGUCUGCAUUACACAAGAGUGUCUGCAGUGUCCGGAGGAGUCCUCGAGCCUGGGAAAUUCCAGACGUGCAGUUCUCCUGCUGCUGCUAACCAUUCACCAUCGGCUUUGUGCCAUGCUGAGGAACCAGCAAGAGAUCCAUGGGUCUCUACUUCCUACACCAACAUUAAUCCAAUCAGAGGUGGCUGCUGAGAAAUCAGCCUCAUUUUCUAGUUUCUCAUUUCACGCAGAUGAAGUUGCAAGUUGCUUAAGUACAGCUGUAGGUCUUUUAAAGCUACUCUGGGCAUGAAUAGCCGGAUCAUCAGGACCCAUCCAGCACCAAGAGAGCUGCCAGCUGCACCUAAAUGCACAACCCUGAUGUAAGGUGGGCCUUCACACCCUGCCAGCCAUCUGGGUGUCAGGCUGAGCUUGUUCCCAGCAAGUUUCCAGUUUCCCCAUGGACAUAUCUCCUAGGUGGGAACAUGGACCCGGUUGGAACAUCUCUUGUUGCCCUAUAAAGACUUGAGCUUAUUGAACAGGAAUCUCUGAUUCAAUGAGGUAUCACGAGCUAUUGCUUCACUUAAGAAAUAAUGCUUAGGUUUUCUCCUUUACUGAUCCCUUGGAGUAAAUCUUCACUACCAGUGAUGGUGUUUCAGAUCACCUAUGAUAGGUCCCGGAGUCCUUUCUAUCUGGUAUCUUGUGCCCCUGUGAGAGUAACCUGAAGUUCCCCUGUGCCACGGGGGCUUCCUGGUAAGUCACCUCUCACAGGGAAGCAGGUCUGGAGCUCUGCCCUACCUAAUGUGCAUCAAAGUGUCACCUCCAGGCCAGAUGUUUUGGAACAGAUACUCUGGAGGCAGCUCUUCAGCUGGUAGGAAAAAAGUGUAGUUCCCUUGAUUUAUUCUUGGCUGUGUUAAUUCAGUGCAGCAAGAGGCUUGGCUGAUUCAUUCUUCAGUUACUUUAUUUGAAAUUAGAGAGAUUUUCCUCCAAUGCUACGCUAAGUCCAUGAACAACUCUAUCAAACUGUCUUUGGUCAUCGUGUCUGCCUAAGACAACAUAAAACCAUCUUCAGAAGAAGGUAAGACCAAAUAUCUGCCAAGUUUCCUCUUGAAGGGAGCUUUCUGAUGAAUCCUGCAACCUCCCCAUGGGCAUCAUCACCCAUGAGCGGCUUUCCCCGGGCUGGAGCUCAUCUCUUGCCUUUUGGCUUUGCUGACCAUGGUCAUCACCACAAUUUUGGGAACUCAGCUGCAUGUUUUAUGAACCAGUCUAUGAAAAAUUCCCUCAAUGAAAGCUCCCCUUCUGAAGGCCUUCCUGGGACUGAAGCUUGGAAGAUGUGCCAAUCUCCUGACCUGAGGUUCUGGCUCCAUCUUCUAGGUGGAGAAGACCCAACUUUUAAGUCAGGCUUUUGAGCAAUUCUGCAAUUGUUUCAAACCUACUCAUGGAUUCCCCAGCUAUGGAACAGCCUGAAGGAGCCUCAUUGUGAAAGCAAGCACAAGCCUUGGGCUUGCUACUCACAGACCAAGUGGGAAAGCCUGGCUCUGCUGGAGAACUCCACUGAGAAAUUAAUCACUGGCCAGAUCCUUAUCGAAAGCUGCUUGAAGAAAUCUCCUUGCCAUUUCCAGACUGGAGACCUUUUGUUUUCAUUCAGCGAAGUACCAGUUCUGUAAGAGACAGCUUUCUCCACUCAGCAUCUUUGGGACACCCAUCGAUCAACGACAGGGAAUUGAAGCCCCCAGUUCCCAGCCACUCUGAAGCAGGUGCUCAAACCCAUCACCUGAGCAGAGCUGAGUUUGGCCUCCUGAUGGGAGGAGAUGGGACUGAGAGCUCAACAAUGUCUCUGAAAACUGAAGAUUGAGCCAAGCUGCUGAAUGUGCUUGCAAUUCACUUUGGGUGGAAAGCAGGAUGGAACUGACACUGCCAGCUAAGGCCACAUCCAUUACGGGCAGCCAGAGCUUCAGCUGCCAGGCUGAUGGUAACUCAUUGCUGAGAUAAAGAUCUGUGCGUUGACCCGUGAGGCUGAAUUAUCAGCUAUAUGGAAAACCACUGACCUAACCAUCUUCCAGGAAAAGGCACCACGUAUUGGAAAGCAUACAGAGAGGCUUGGGAUGAAAAUUGGGAAAGACAGACCAUUUCUCCCACUGGAAGCUCUGGGACCCGCUGCGGGCUCGGGGCGGGUGUUUCCGAAGUGCUUUCGUGUGGAGGAGUUUUCUACAAUGAAGUUUUCAUCGCAGCACUGAGAAAGCCUUGAUUUACUGCCCUCAGAGCAUCCAGGAUACCAGAGUUGCGUUCGAUUUCGUGUCAAUCCUUUGCAAAGGCAGGGCUUAAUGCAAGCUAGACCCGCGCCUUGUGGACUUUUCUUCUGCCUCGGUACCUCCCUGUUGAUCUGCUGCCUUUUCUGUUAUGGCAGUCCUAACAAGUCCAUACCAAACCCAUGUACAUCCUUUUGCAGGGUGUGGUUGUGCACCCAGGGGCGUAGGAAGCUGGACACCAGGAGUAAUGACCAUGAGUUAGACUAUGGUUAAGUUUUGCCUGUACUUUUCCCUUUUUUAUAUCACAUCUAGGCAUUAACAGGGUAUUGGGCAGAGCCAGAGCCCAGGAAGGAUGUGGGGCAGCCUAUUGCCUGUCUGUGCACUCACCAGGGAAGCAGCAGAUAACCCCAUGCCCUGCUCUUGUGUCGGGGGCAGAGGGUCCAAUGUUCUCUGCAGAAAUGCUGAAGCUUGCCUGGUGUCCUGGAAAGGCAGGCAGUCACAUCCCAGAGCAUGGGGGUAAGAUGUGGGCACAGAAACGGCACCGGUUCUUUGCAGAAAGAAAAUAUUGCUGGAAAAGUGGCAGUGCAAGUCGGUCCCUUCCCAAAAAGGACCGUAACUGGGGGGCUAUAAGGAAAAGCUGUUACACACAGCCCUGUUGUUUGUCCCAAUGUAUUUUGGUUGAUAAAAUCUGAGAGCAACUCCGGAGCCCUUCGCUGAGGGACGUAGGAAGAUACCCUGCCCGGGGACGGGAUUCUCCCCAAGUUGCUCUCCUCAUCUACAGACCAGGUCCCUGCAGUCCGUGAUCCAGCCAUAGAUGAUGGAGAGUGAUCAGCACCUCCAGAGGUUAUCCUUCAAACCAGCUGCCACUUUUGGGUGUUGAGAAGGCUGACUACUCAGAUCUCUUCCCACUGCCUACAGCCAUGGGCUGGGGACAGCCAAACUUUGAUGGCCAAAGCCAGGUAAAUGAUUCCUGGACAAUAUCAGGUCUGAGUCCAGACACAGAUGGGAUGGAGCACUCUCAAACUAGGUUAUGAACAAAUACCUGUCACUUGGAGUUUUUUUGUGAAUUUGCUAUUAAGCUAAGAACAUUUAAAAGCUUGGGAGGUGUUGAGCAUCUCCAGGCACAAGAGAUGUCUCAGGAUAUAACAAAGUGUGACUUGAAUUUCUUGCACCUUGCCAGUGAGCCAUGAUUAAUGGGUCAGGCAGCAGAGGUGUAAUGAAAUCAAUAGAGUUUGCUUAUUGUUUGUUUGGAGUGGAGAUCUUUGCAGAUCCAGAAGCGCUGUGGUGGUGUCAUGCCCCCCCUCUUUCCCUCCAAGUUUUCUGUUCUGUUGAAAACUCUUUGGGUUUAACCCUUGGGAAGGCUGUGAUUUGAAGGGUAGCUGCAAGAGAGUCGAGGUCUACAAGGAUGUAAUGUGUUUGGCAUGGUUUGUGCUAGGAAAUGUCUGAGAGAGUAGAAAAUAGGAGCUGUGUACAAUACACCAGGGAAGGAGCUGAGGCUUGCAGACAGGGCUGCAGGCUCCGGCUCUAACCCCGGCUUGACAAUUGAUAGAGAAAAAUCUUGUGACUGCCGUCUUACAGCACUAACGAGGAACGCGCGUUCUCUUCUGAUCAAAAGUCUGAAACACAACGUGCUCUCCCUGCCCGGCCUCUGAUCUGCAAAUACAUCACUGGCUUUUAUCACUCAUUUUUUCUUUAUCUGAGCGGAGCUGGUCUCAAGCGCUACAACCUGAUUAUCUCUGAGGAGGUUGCCAAAUGCAUGUCAGGGAUCGUUAGACGUAAUAAUAAAGGAAGCAGGAGGAAUCAAGUGGCUUGAGUAGGAAAUCAGAGGGAAUUCCUGGCUGUGGCUGCCAGUCUGGUGAACGCUGGGACCCGCCUGCAGCGUUGUGUGACAGAGGAGGUCACAGCUCAGGACUCGUAAGCCUUCUCAGAUCAGUGAUAUAUUAAAUGAAAAUGCCAUUGUGCAUUCUCUCCCUCCCCAAACAAUAUAUUUACAUAUACUCAUAGCAGCUAGAAGAAUGAGUCGUAUUAAAAGUAGAACUUAAAUCCCUCUUGGCCACCCCAAAAGUUUGCUAGCCUUUGUUGUUCAACCCUUGCCUUUGGGAUUAUUGGCACUUCUGGGCAGGGCUAAGGGAAGAUUUGGUUUCCCUUCAGUUCACAGAAAAAUAAUUGGUGGCACUGCUAUGUUUUUGAAUGAAUUAGAAAAUAAGCAACAAUAUUUUCCAGCCAAGAACCUUCUAUUCAAUUUGAAAUUAAUUUCAUUCUGCAUUCAAGUGAUCUUGAGAACCAUUUUUCACAGAAAAUGGAAAGACAUUUUUAACUAAAAACUGGUCUGUAAUUAGAGGCUUUGCUUUAAAAUAAAACAUGUUUGGGUUUCCUCUGUU